CUCUUGCCAGUGUUCAAAGUCAUGUUUGAAGAAAGUAAAUAAAAGUGUUCUUACCAAAUGAACAAAGUUUGCUGUAGAAAGAAUACCAUAACGAAAAACUACAACACAACCAUGCAAAGCAGUUAACAACUCCUCCUUCAACUGGAGUGAAAAAUAUAUUUUGCUGAAGAGAAUGACGGAAAGUUUUGCAACCAGAUUUGUGCAAGAUUUCUUGCUUAAAGAAGCAAUAGCAUUUCUAGUGGCAAGAAAGAAUGGUAUAUCAUGAAAAACAGCCGAUGAUCUUUGCCAGCAAACAGAGAUGCUAAAAAGAUAAGGUGGGAAAAGCCAGACUUCAAUAGCUUCAUCAGACAUUACCACAAUCCAUGAAAAAAUAAUUAUUUUUGGGAGUGAUAGAAUUAUUAGAAGAAAAACAUAAAUUAUCUUUUGAGUUGUUAAAUUGUCAGUAAUGCAUUUUGAGUAGUUGAAAUAUAAGUUUAUAAUUCUAGUAACUAAAGUGCAGGAUUGGAAACGAAGAAGAGUUUGCAACAGACGUUAGCGUUACAUGUACCAUUCACAGAGUUUGUCAAGUUUUGAGAACAAUGUAUUAGUUCAUUCAUGCCACUGUAACAACCAUGUGCUGUGAAAAAAUUUUGAAUAAAAGUUGUUAAAUUUGCAAUAAAAAUAAUUGCACUUGCUCAA